UACGGAGGGGCCUAGCGUUGUUCGGAAUUACUGGGCGUAAAGCGCCCGUAGGCGGAUUUGUAAGUCAGGGGUGAAAUCCCGGGGCUCAACCUCGGAACUGCCUUUGAUACUGCAAAUCUCGAGUCCGGAAGAGGUGAGUGGAAUUCCUAGUGUAGAGGUGAAAUUCGUAGAUAUUAGGAAGAACACCAGUGGCGAAGGCGGCUCACUGGUCCGGUACUGACGCUGAGGUGCGAAAGCGUGGGGAGCAAACAGG
rnacentral:rRNA from 1 species